rnacentral:tRNA from 1 species
GUGUCAGUAGCUCAGUUGGAUAGAGCACCGGCCUUCUAAGCCGGUUGUCGGGGGUUCGAAUCCCUUCUGGCACA